ACAUGCAAGUCGAGGGGCAGCAUCAUUAAAGCUUGCUUUGAUGGAUGGCGACCGGCGCACGGGUGAGUAACACGUAUCCAACCUGCCGACAACACUGGGAUAGCCUUUCGAAAGAAAGAUUAAUACCGGAUGGCAUAGUCUUCCCGCAUGGGAUGACUAUUAAAGAAUUUCGGUUGUCGAUGGGGAUGCGUUCCAUUAGGCAGUUGGCGGGGUAACGGCCCACCAAACCAACGAUGGAUAGGGGUUCUGAGAGGAAGGUCCCCCACAUUGGAACUGAGACACGGUCCAAACUCCUACGGGAGGCAGCAGUGAGGAAUAUUGGUCAAUGGACGAGAGUCUGAACCAGCCAAGUAGCGUGAAGGAUGACUGCCCUAUGGGUUGUAAACUUCUUUUAUACGGGAAUAAAGUGAGCCACGUGUGGCUUUUUGUAUGUACCGUAUGAAUAAGGAUCGGCUAACUCCGUGCCAGCAGCCGCGGUAAUACGGAGGAUCCGAGCGUUAUCCGGAUUUAUUGGGUUUAAAGGGAGCGUAGGCGGGUUGUUAAGUCAGUUGUGAAAGUUUGCGGCUCAACCGUAAAAUUGCAGUUGAUACUGGCGACCUUGAGUGCAACAGAGGUAGGCGGAAUUCGUGGUGUAGCGGUGAAAUGCUUAGAUAUCACGAAGAACUCCGAUUGCGAAGGCAGCUUACUGGAUUGUAACUGACGCUGAUGCUCGAAAGUGUGGGUAUCAAACAGGAUUAGAUACCCUGGUAGUCCACACAGUAAACGAUGAAUACUCGCUGUUGGCGAUAUACGGUCAGCGGCCAAGCGAAAGCAUUAAGUAUUCCACCUGGGGAGUACGCCGGCAACGGUGAAACUCAAAGGAAUUGACGGGGGCCCGCACAAGCGGAGGAACAUGUGGGUUAAUUCGAUGAUACGCGAGGAACCUUACCCGGGCUUAAAUUGCAACUGACUGAACCGGAAACG
rnacentral:rRNA from 1 species